GACGAACGCUGGCGGCGUGCUUAACACAUGCAAGUCAAACGAUGAACCCGGAGCUUGCUCCGGCGGAUUAGUGGCGAACGGGUGAGUAACACGUGAGUAACCUGCCCUUGACUCUGGGAUAACUGCUAGAAAUGGUAGCUAAUACCGGAUACGACCCUCGGUGGCAUCACCAGGGGGUGGAAAGAAUUUCGGUCAAGGAUGGACUCGCGGCCUAUCAGCUAGUUGGUGAGGUAACGGCUCACCAAGGCGACGACGGGUAGCCGGCCUGAGAGGGUGACCGGCCACACUGGGACUGAGACACGGCGCAGACUCCUACGGGAGGCAGCAGUGGGGAAUAUUGCACAAUGGGCGCAAGCCUGAUGCAGCAACGCCGCGUGAGGGAUGACGGCCUUCGGGUUGUAAACCUCUUUUAGUAGGGAAGAAGCCUUCGGGUGACGGUACCUGCAGAAAAAGGACCGGCUAACUACGUGCCAGCCGCCGCCGUAA
rnacentral:rRNA from 1 species